rnacentral:miRNA from 1 species
UCAGCACCCCUCCGUCCCCGCAGU